rnacentral:lncRNA from 1 species
CUUGGUAUUGUCGGUCUUUUUCACGUUAGUGUUGGGUUUAUCAUAUUUCUAGAGAAUUGUUGGUAUGGAAGCUUACAACAAGGAGAACGUCAGCAAUGCUCACCUGGCCCUUGCCCAGGGGAAUGAGAGUCUUAGGAAAUUGAAAUGGACCGUGUGUCUCAUCUUCCUGGCCAGAGAGAGGCUUUGCCAGCAGUGAAUGAGUUCCUGGGAAAACUGCAUUUCUAACUGCAACUUAAUAAAUUGGCAUCGCUGUUUCGUGCAUCUGGUUUAUGAACUUGGGUAACAUGACCUCCUCCUGCGAGAUCACUUGGCGAAUAGUGAGUACCUGGAUCACGGGAAGAGUCAACGUUUAUAGAAAUCAGAGUGGAUGAGACGCGCAAGGCAAAGCAAAUGAAACAAAUUCCAACUUCAUCAUUUCUGUUGCCCGCCUUGUGAGAAGUGGGCAGGAAGAUGGUUUCCUGAUGAACUGUAUUCAUUACUGUCCCCGUCCUCCUCGCCGUGACAGCUGGACACGUAAUGACGGCGCCGUCUAAGACCCCUGUCCCCUGGACGUGCAGAGCGGGCCUCCAGAGAGGGAGGCCUUCUCCAGAGAAGGACUUGCUUUUUCCGUGGGGUGGGCUGCUGGCCGAUUGUCUAUUGCUUCCUCAGCUCCCACCGAUCUGAUUUUUCCAGGCUUUGGAAAGUGGCGUUUGCCUCCUUGCCGGUAUAAAACAAUGAUUUUAUACUGGAAAUAGAGGUUGGCACACGCCAAUUUAACACUGUGGUCACCGUUCCCCUAAACACCUACCGUGGGGCCGGCUCUUGGCUGCGUGGUAAGGUGGACAGGGUUCACCCGGCAUCCCCUCACCUCGUCCGUCGCCCCUCGGUUCCCUGGUUCUCUAUACCUGCUGCCCUCCUCUCCACCCCUGAGAUGGCCCUCUGCAGCCCCACCUUCAGCUUGUGCCUGGCUCACACCAUCAGCCGCCCCUUACGUGGAUUCAGGGACACGUUUUAAAGCGGCUUCACCCAGAAUUGGGUUUCUUUGACAUCUUAAUAAGCUG